AUGAAGUUGCCUGUUCAGCUUUUGGUGUUGCUGUUGUUCAGGAUUCCUGCUUCCAGCAGUGAUGUUGUGGUGACCCAAACUCCAACCUCCCUGCCUGUCAGCCUUGGAGAUCAAGCCUCCAUCUCUUGCAGAUCUAGUCAGAGCCUUGUACAUGGUGAUGGAAACACCUAUUUGUAUUGGUGCCUGCAGAGGCCAGGCCAGUCUCCAAAGCCGCUUAUCUACAGGGCUUCCUACCGAUACUCUGGGGUGCCAGACAGGUUCAGUGGCAGUGGGUCAGGCACAGAUUUCACACUCAAGAUCAGCAGAGUAGAGCCUGAAGACUUGGGAAUUUAUUACUGCAUGCAAUAUACACAUUUGUCCCACAGUGAUUCAGACCCUAACAAAAACAUCUUUGUAGUGGCCCAGCUGCUAAGUAUGUUCCUCAUCUGUGUAAAAGAACUGCUGAGGAACACCAGAUUACUGGUUGCGGCUGGGUACCUUUGA